rnacentral:rRNA from 1 species
AACGAACGCUGGCGGCAGGCCUAACACAUGCAAGUCGAGCGCCCCGCAAGGGAGCGGCGGACGGGUGAGUAACGCGUGGGAACGUACCCUUUGCUACGGAAUAGCCUCGGGGAAACUGGGAGUAAUACCGUAUGUGCCCCUUCGGGGGAAAGAUUUAUCGGCAAAGGAUCGGCCCCGCGUUGGAUUAGGUAGUUGGUGGGGUAAUGGCCUACCAAGCCGACGAGUCCAUAGCUGGUUUGAGAGGAUGAUCAGCCACACUGGGACUGAGACGACGGCCCAGACUCCUACGGGACGGCAGCAGUGGGGAAUCUUAGACAAUGGGCGCAAGCCUGAUCUAGCCAUGCCGCGUGAGCGAUGAAGGCCUUAGGGUUGUAAA